AAGUACCUUACCUUUUACGUCCACACCCCUCCACUACACAAAAAGGCUCCAAAUUGGCAGGUGCAAAGCCGACUAGCCAGAGGAUGAAAACACUUUAAAAGGGCCCAAAAAGAAGCGUUGAAAGGUCCACAUUUUGUUCAUCUGCAAAAGUAAAACAAAUGUCCACAAUCUGUACAAGCAAAAAUAUAAAGCUGAUUAAAAAAAGGUACAUUUGUCACGCCGAGGUAAGGCAGGGAGGUUUUUGUACAGCCCCUCUACGAGCGUGUACCACCGUGUGACCCUGUACCCACAGUGUUAGCGCUUUGCACAAAAACACAGCGUGUUCUAGCCCACCUUUCUGCAGCCACAAAACAGAUCAUAUCUCGGCGCCUCAUCUGGAGACGCGUGAGAGCGUUGAGUCGGGUCACGCCCGGCUGUAAAGAAGCUCAGAAACCUUCCAAAGUGGGGUCAUUCCAUGCCGUAUCACUCAGCGGAUUUUGAUUUUAAUGAAAUUUGCUGCACUUGUUGAGCGUUAUAACACAACGCAAAGUC